AAAACUUUCAACAACGGAUCUCUUGGUUCCCGCAUCGAUGAAGAACGCAGCGAAAUGCGAUAAGUAAUGUGAAUUGCAGAAUCCAGUGAAUCAUCGAAUCUUUGAACGCACAUUGCGCCCCUUGGCAUUCCGAGGGGCAUGCCUGUCCGAGCGUCA
rnacentral:rRNA from 1 species